UAUUAUUCCUAGUGUCUGAUAUUUUAUUGUUAAACCAAGACGAGCUUUGAAGAGGAACUUUUCUACUUUCUACACUUGUGGAGUUAGAAGCAACAUAAAGAGCAACUUGAGAAGAUCCCAUGCCGGGACAGGUGUGGCUACAACAGAAUGAGAGCAAGAGAGAGUGAAAGUAGAUGAAGUCUGAGAAUUAGCCAACAGAUACCAGGGUCAUAUUUUCUACAAAAAAUCUAUAAUCCAAUAGGAAAGAGUAAAACAUCUCUGCUAUACCCAUGGACAGGAACUCAGAACCACAUGGCUGCUCUCAGCCCCAUGGCAGUAUGUCUAUGAAACCCUACGGAACACAAUUUGAAAACCAUCACUCUAAAGAAAUACUACUGCUUGUCAUCAGCUGUGAAGAAUGUCCCGUGGAACAGUACCUGGGCAAUUAUAUUUUCUUCCGUGCCUCCUGUUUUCUCUUAUGUAAAAAUCUCAUCAGAACAGGAUGCUAUCAUUAAACCCAACAAAAAAACCC